AACGCUGGCGGCGUGCUUAACACAUGCAAGUCGAGCGAGAAAGCACCUUCGGGUGUGAGUACAGCGGCGAACGGGUGAGUAACACGUGGGCAACCUGCCCCAGAGACCGGGACAACAGUUCGAAAGGACUGCUAAUACCGGAUGACGUGUGUCCUGCCAAGUGGGACACACCAAAAGGUAGCUUCGGCCUCCGCUCUGGGAUGGGCCCGCGCCGGAUUAGCUAGUUGGUGAGGUAAUGGCUCACCAAGGCGACGAUCCGUAGCUGGUCUGAGAGGACGAUCAGCCACACUGGGACUGAGACACGGCUCAGACUCCUACGGGAGGCAGCAGUGGGGAAUCUUGCGCAAUGGGCGAAAGCCUGACGCAGCAACGCCGCGUGCGGGAAGAAGGCCUUCGGGUUGUAAACCGCUGUCAGGAGGGACGAAGCCACUCGGGUUAAUAGCCCAGAGGGUGACGGUACCUCCAGAGGAAGGUCCGGCUAACUACGUGCCAGCAGCCGCGGUAAUACGUAGGGACCGAGCGUUGUCCGGAAUUAUUGGGCGUAAAGCGCGUGUAGGCGGCUUGGCAAGUCCGGUGUGAAAUGUCGGGGCUUAACCCCGGAACUGCACUGGAAACUGCCUUGCUAGAGUCCGGAAGAGGAGACUGGAAUUCCUGGUGUAGCGGUGAAAUGCGCAGAUAUCAGGAAGAACACCCGUGGCGAAGGCGGGUCUCUGGGACGGUACUGACGCUGAGACGCGAAAGCGUGGGGAGCGAACAGGAUUAGAUACCCUGGUAGUCCACGCCGUAAACGAUGGGCACUAGGUGUGGGAGGUGUCGACUCCUUCCGUGCCGAAGCUAACGCAUUAAGUGCCCCGCCUGGGGAGUACGGCCGCAAGGCUAAAACUC
rnacentral:rRNA from 1 species